CAAUUCAGAAGAACUUUAAUGCCUAUACCAUCAUUGCCACUAUAAUAGAGAUAGAAGAUACAUUAAGAAAAUUCAGUUUGUAUCCACAAAACAGAUCAACACAGAACAAGGAAACACCAUAGACAUUUGUAAAUGAGAUCUUCUCUUUUGCUACUGUGUAUAUAUAUUCCUUUAUAUUUAUACAAACUCACAACACCACAUGACAUUUCAUAUUUCAUAUGCCACUGAGAACAGGUGUCAGUAUACAGAACAUAGGAAGAAGAAAAAAGCAUGAGAACAUCUGCUUAAUUCGAAUCUGAUGGGGAGAGACAUGAGAGCUAUUGUUCCUCUCUCCGCUCAGGCCUAUCGAGAGACAACUUCAGUUUUUGCUAAUUGUUCCUCCUGAGGAAUUCUGCUCAUACUGCAUCUCCUAGGUUGGCAUGAGACCAGCCUGGUCCCCGGUUGAAUAAAUUAGAAAGAGCAGUUCGGGGAAUUGAAGAUGACAUGCAAACUGCAUACGGUGACAUCUCUGUGUGGCCGCAGAGAUAGAUCAUCUGCCCCUGGCUCCUGGAUCUGAGGGAAGCCGCUGCUGCUCAACCUGCUCCAGGGUUUAAUUUUGUUGGGGUUGUGGGGCUGGCAAGGGGAAUGUGUUCCUUUCCUUCCUUCUCUCCCACAAGCAGAGGAAGUCAUAUGUAGACAAAACAGAUGUUUAGGUGUUCUCUUCAGUAGCCUUCCUCUUGCUCCCCUCUAUUACCCCCAGAAAGGUGAAGUUCAGAAUUAGGACUGCCCACUGCAGGGGCUACAGACGCUACCCUGUUCUGAGACUAACCCUGCCAUUUACUGCCUUCUCUAUGUAGUCUUGGAUAGAUUGCUUCACUGACGCAGGCCUCAAUUUUCCUCAUCUGUACUGGGAAUAAUAAAACCCACAUCACAGUGUUGUAUCAAAGAUCAUCAGGGCAUGGAUGGGAAAGUGCUUUGGGAACUGUAAAGCGCCAAACACAUGAUCGAUGAUUUUUGUUAUAAUAUUUGAAUAUUAUGUCUCCUGCCUGCUCCUCCUGGACCCCAGCCCCAUCACAGCUCACUGCUCUGUUCAUCCAGGCCCAGCUUGUAGUGGCUGAUUCUUCUUGGCUGCUUUUAGCCUCCAGAAGUUUCUCUGAAGCCAACCAAACCUCUGGGUGUAAGGCAUGUUGGCCCAGGUAUUUUUGGUGAGGUUAGGUUCCGGGGACAGGAAUGUGUAUUGAGGUUGGGGGAAGGAGCUAAAGGAAGGAGGGGAUCCUUGGAAAGGUCUCUGGGAGGGGUGUAUUCGGUUUCAUUCUGAGACAAAUACCAUCUUCUCCCCAAGACUCUCACAGUGGCUCCACCUUAAAUGUCCACAGCAUUUCACUUUCUAAAAUGUACUUUUAUUUGACUCUCAUAACUAUUUUGUGAAGUAGGGAAGAUUGUCAGCCUCAUUAGGUGAAAAUAUGUUGGUUCAAGAUCACACAGUUAGUAUGCUGCAAAGUCAGGACUCAAACCCAGAUCUCUGGAAUCCUGGUUUUCUGAGUGUUGAAGGGUACCUCUAACAAAGGCUCCAGAGCACUCUAAACUCUCAUUCUGGGCUCACUCCUCACUCCUGGAGGCUGAUCUCCGGGGGAAGGAGGAAGUGCAUGAGGUACCUUUCCGUCAGGUGACUGGUGGCAGCCCCUACUUUAACCCAGCCCAACAAGGUCAUGCUACAGAGCUGCUCAUGGCAUUUUCCUGGACUCUCCUCCCUUGGUCCUGGCUGGAUUCUUCUACCCUGAUCCAAUUAGUAAGUCCAGGCUCCAUCUCCUACUUAUACAACACCCCUUCUCUUGCUCUUUUGCUCACGGUGUUUACACUGGCUUUCUCCAUUCUCUGGUUCUCAGUCCCCUUACAAAAGAUCCUGGAUUAGAUUUGCCUGCCUACCUCUGCCUGAUUGGGAUUACUUUGUGUAGUGCCAACAUCACACGUUCGGCAUCUACCGUGUGUGCAUGACACUGCACUAAGGGUUUUACACCCAUUCUCCGUUUAAUCCUUUCAACAGCCCC
rnacentral:lncRNA from 1 species